rnacentral:lncRNA from 1 species
AGCGGUGGUGAAGUCCACUAAUCCAGCGGUCAAGGUCCGGUGGUCGGCCAGGCCUGAGGCCUGUUGCACGUAGGUGACGACGACGUCUUAAAUGUAGACCCGUGCAAGUCCACAAUAAGUGUGUGGCAGUUACAUCGCGGAUUGGAGCGUUGCAAAAUGGGUAAGCGC